CCAACGGCCCUCUUUAGGGCCACAAAUUGACAUUCGAUUACUUUU
rfam:Oesophagostomum dentatum strain OD-Hann O_dentatum-1.0_Cont2815.6, whole genome shotgun sequence.